AUUGUUCCCUAGGAUUGACUUUGGGUCUUUCCUGCAUAGCUUAGGUGGAGGGCAAAGAAGGCCUUCUUUCGUAGGGGCCUGAGCCAUCAGUGAGAUACUACUCUAGAAGAGCUAGAAUUUUAACCUUAUGUUAGGACCUACAGGCCAAGGGACAAUCUCAGGUAGAUAGU
rnacentral:ncRNA from 1 species